rnacentral:lncRNA from 1 species
AUGGAUACGGAUAUGAAUUUUGUAUUUACCCGACCCGAACCCGAACCCGAACCCGAAUAAAUUAUAUAUAUAUACAUACUUUAUUUUUAUUUAUUUAUAUAAUAUAUAAAAUAUUUAAUAAUUUUUAUCCCUUAGAUCUUCAUUUAACGGUAUGGACUUUUAAAACCGGCCGGGUCCGCGUCUAGGUCCGGGUUCGGGUUUCGGGUUUUUGGUCGGCUACGGAUAUGGGUAUGGAUUUUUAAAACCCGCCGGGUUCGGGUCCGGGUACGGGUGUUAAUUUGGUUUUCGGGUUCGGGUUCGGGUUUUUAAAAACCCGACCAAAACCUGACCCGUUGACAUCCCUAGCCUAAGAUGAAUCGAGAAGGGUCUGAUAGGACAAACUGUCUAAGUAGGGUGUAAUCUACGAACGGAGAAGAAGGAAGAAGCGGAAGCAGCACCAUUGCUAAAGCGGAGGAAAAGAAUGAAGAAAAAACCCUAAGGAUCGAAAAGAGAAAAGAAGUAGACUAAGAUUCAGAUCAGAGAGGAGAGAAGCGGAGAAGACGAGGAAAAGAAAAGAGAAGGCGAAGAAGUUGAAGUUUGAGUUAAAAAGCAAGUGGAGCAGAGGAAGCUUGGCGAAGAAGAAAGAAGCCGUCGCGUCGAAUCGAAUUCCGAGACCAGUUAUAAUGAUGAAAAGAUAGAGGCAAUUAAGAUGACCUAAUUAAUGCCGCAUAUAAGACAAAAAGGAAUGGCGGGAUCGUGGCCGUAGAAAAGUAAUGAACGGCUGAGAAAGUAUCGUACAAAGAAUUUGAAAUUAUUUGUAUCGGGAGACACGCCUCUAAUUACGCCAGUUGCCGAAGCGUCCGUUAUGAAGCUGCCGAGGG